CGAAAUCCGCUAAGGAGUG
rnacentral:snRNA from 1 species